rnacentral:rRNA from 1 species
AGCUGGCACCUCCGGUGUCCGCGUUGUAAUCUCGAGACGUGUUUUCCGUGCGGCUCUAUGGACAAGUCCCUUGGAAUAGGGCAUCGUAGAGGGUGAGAAUCCCGUACUUGCCAUGGAAGAACCGUGCUUUGCGAUACACGCUCUAAGAGUCGAGUUGUUUGGGAUUGCAGCUCAAAAUGGGUGGUAGACUCCAUCUAAAGCUAAAUAUCGGGGAGAGACCGAUAGCGAACAAGUACCGUGAGGGAAAGAUGAAAAGCACUUUGGAAAGAGAGUUAAAAGUACGUGAAAUUGUCGAAAGGGAAGCACUUGAAGUCAGCCAUGCUGCUUGAGACUCAGCCUGGCCUUUGGGCUUGGUGUAUUUCUCGGUGGCAAGCCAGCAUUGGUUUGGGUCGUCGGAGAAGCGCAUAGGGAAUGUAGCGUCUCCGGACGUGUUAUAGCCUUAUGCAGGAUACGACGACCUGGAUCAAGGAACGCAGUGUGCCCUCUGGGCG